rnacentral:rRNA from 1 species
AUUGAACGCUGGCGGCAGGCCUAACACAUGCAAGUCGAACGGUAACAGGAAGCAGCUGCUGCUUUGCUGACGAGUGGCGGCCGGGUGAGUAAUGUCUGGGAAACUGCCUGAUGGAGGGGGAUAACUACUGGAAACGGUAGCUAAUACCGCAUAACGUCGCAAGACCAAAGAGGGGGACCUUCGGGCCUCUUGCCAUCGGAUGUGCCCAGAUGGGAUUAGCUAGUAGGUGGGGUAACGGCUCACCUAGGCGACGAUCCCUAGCUGGUCUGAGAGGAUGACCAGCCACACUGGAACUGAGACACGGUCCAGACUCCUACGGGAGGCAGCAGUGGGGAAUAUUGCACAAUGGGCGCAAGCCUGAUGCAGCCAUGCCGCGUGUAAGAAGAAGGCCUUCGGGUUGUAAAGUACUUUCAGCGGGGAGGAAGGGAGUAAAGUUAAUACCUUUGCUCAUUGACGUUACCCGCAGAAGAAGCACCGGCUAACUCCGUG